rnacentral:rRNA from 1 species
GAUGAACGCUAGCGGCAGGCUUAACACAUGCAAGUCGAGGGGCAGCAUAAACAUUGCUUGCAAUGUUUGGUGGCGACCGGCGCACGGGUGCGUAACGCGUAUGCAACCUACCCAUAACAGGGGGGAUAACACUGAGAAAUUGGUACUAAUACCCCGUAAUAUCAGGAAAGGCAUCUUUUUUGGUUGAAAGUUCCGGCGGUUAUGGAUGGGCAUGCGUUGUAUUAGCUAGUUGGUGAGGUAACGGCUCACCAAGGCGACGAUACAUAGGGGGACUGAGAGGUUAACCCCCCACAUUGGUACUGAGACACGGACCAA